rnacentral:rRNA from 1 species
CACGUAGGGUGCGAGCGUUGUCCGGAAUGAUUGGGCGUAAAGAGCGCGUAGGCGGUGUGUCGCGUCGGCCGUGAAAACUUGCAGCUUAACUGUGGGCGUGCGGUCGAUACGGGCAUCACUGGAGUUCGGCAGGGGAGACUGGAAUUCCUGGUGUAGCGGUGAAAUGCGCAGAUAUCAGGAGGAACACCGGUGGCGAAGGCGGGUCUCUGGGACGGUACUGACGCUGAGACGCGAAAGCGUGGGGAGCGAACAGG